GUCCUCAGUCACACCAGGCUGAAAGCACCUGAUUUUGGAAGCUAAACUGUUCUGGAUCAGUGCAGUACUUGGACAGUAGACAUUCACUCUAGAUAAACUGAAGGACA
ensembl:rRNA 5S_rRNA 5S ribosomal RNA